rnacentral:sRNA from 1 species
AAACCACAGAUACAGAUAUUUAAGAAGUUAAUCAAGCACCAGCAAGCGACCAUUUUGACGUCACUCCAUGGACACAAUGAAUGGCAGAACUUUGCGCUAGAACUGACAACACCAAAAACUCGAAGGAAGAAGUUGGGAAGGUCAGUAGAAAAGAAGCUAGAAGCUGAGAAGAUCCGUAGAAAAGAAGCUAGAAGCUGAGAAGAUACGUAGAACUUGGGGGAACAGUUUUCAAGCUAGGUUUAUGAAACUUUGUGUUAAGUGCAUAGGGA